rnacentral:rRNA from 1 species
GAUGAACGCUGGCGGCGUGCCUAAUACAUGCAAGUCGAACGCUGGAAAUCUAGCUUGCUCGAUUGAAGGAGUGGCGAACGGGUGAGUAAUACAUAAGCAACCUACCCACGAAGACUGGGAUAAUCUCUGGAAACGGGGACUAAUACCGGAUAGGUAAUCGGAAGGCAUCUUCUGAUUAUUAAAGGUUAAAAACACUGGUUGAUGGGCUUAUUGCGCAUUAGUUAGUUGGUGAGGUAACGGCCCACCAGGACGAUGAUGCGUAGCCGUCCUGAGAGGGUGAACGGCGACAUUGGGACUGAGACACGGCCCAGACUCCUACGGGAGGCAGCAGUAGGGAAUUUUCGGCAAUGGGGGAAACCCUGACCGAGCAACGCCGCGUGAGUGAUGACGGCCUUCGGGGUGUAAAGCUCUGUUGUAAGGGAAGAACGGUAGAUAGAGAAUAUCUAAAUGACGGUACCUUACCAGAAAGCAACGGCUAACUACGUG